rnacentral:rRNA from 1 species
CGCCAGACUGCACGGAGCCAUCCUUCAAAUACCACCCUUCAACGUUUGAUGUUCUAACUCGGGUCAAUAAUCUGGAUCGGGGACCGUGUAUGCAGGGUGGUUGGCCUGGGGCGGUGUCCUCCAAAAGCGUAACGGAGGAGCACGAAGGGUGGCUAAGCAUGGACGGAACUCAUGCGGUUAGUGCAACGGCAUAAGCUAGCUUGACUGCGAGAGUGGCGGCACGUGCAGUGACGAAAGUAGGUAGAUAGGCAGUGUGUCGUGUAGGGAAAG